rnacentral:rRNA from 1 species
UGGGGGAUAUUGGACAAUGGGGGGAACCCUGAUCCAGCGACGCCGCGUGAGUGAAGAAGUAUCUCGGUAUGUAAAGCUCUGUCAGCAGGGAAGAAAGAAAUGACGGUACCUGACCAAGAAGCCCCGGCUAACUACGUGCCAGCAGCCGCGGUAAUACGUAGGGGGCAAGCGUUAUCCGGAAUUACUGGGUGUAAAGGGAGCGUAGACGGUUUAGUAAGUCUGGAGUGAAAGGCGGGGGCCCAACCCCCGGACUGCUCUGGAAACUAUUAGACUGGAGUGCAGGAGAGGUAAGCGGAAUUCCUGGUGUAGCGGUGAAAUGCGUAGAUAUCAGGAGGAACAUCGGUGGCGAAGGCGGCUUACUGGACUGUAACUGACGUUGAGGCUCGAAAGCGUGGGGAGCAAACAGG